UUUCAUUGUAUUUGUGUGAUUAAAGUAUUAAAAGUAUUUAAAUUCUGAGUUUUGCUUAUUUCUUCACAAAUACAG
ensembl:miRNA Mir6951 microRNA 6951